rnacentral:lncRNA from 1 species
GGCUGACAGCGGGAAGGAUCAGCCCUAGGGGAAGAGGUCUUGGUAGUGGCAGCUCUAGCCUGCUGAGGUGGAGCCACUACUGCCACAGGCUUUUUGGAUGGAGUUCCAAGGUGGGGUGUGUGUGUGUGUGUGUGUGUGUGUGUGUGUGUGUGCAUGUUUGUGCCAUCAUAUAGCUAUCAGAGAGCAGAAAACCCUCCUGCAGGAGAAGUAUUAUAAAUAGAAACAAGUAGAAGAAGGAAAUAGCUUGUCUAGACUUCAAAGCUGGCUUUUGUGGCUUGGUAUUUAUCAGUUCUGGUACUAAUAAUUCUUCUGCCUAGAAAAUACAGUCAUCCCUUGGUAUCUGUGGGGGAUCAGUUCCAGGACCCCACAAUCCCCUUGGAUACCAAAACCCAUGGAUGCUCAAGUCCCUGAUAUAAAAUGGUGUAGUAUUUGCAUAUACCAUAUGCACAUACACCCGUAUACUUUAAAUCAUCUCUAGAUUACUUAUAAUGCCUAAUACAAUGUAGAUGCUAUGUAAAUAGUUGUUAUAUUGCAUUGUUUAGGGAAUAAUUAGAAGGGAAAAAGUCUGUACACUUUCAGUACAGAUGGAAAUAUCCAUUUUUUCGAUGUAUCUUCCAAGGUUGGUUGAAUCCAUUGACACAAAACCUAUGGAUACAGGAGGCCCAACUGUACCCUUGCUUUUCUGUUGUCAACCCUUUGAUUUUUUUCAUUUUUAACCAAAGGGAGCUUCCACUUUUGUUGCCCUUGGGGUUCAUUGCAAAGCCUGUCAUCCAGCGCUCAAGGGGCAGCCAGUCAUUCCUGGUGUUCACGACUGUAGAAAAUAUCUCUUACCCAAGCCACCUCUCCCAAAAUCAUGCUCCUUCCCAGGGCAGCCACAUAUGGUGAUGGAUGGAGUUUGGGUGUAUGAAGGCCCGGCCAUUUUGCCCCAAUGUGGGACGAAUCCGAAGGGUCAUUUUAGUUCCAGAACUCUCUGUAGGACUGGUUGAGUUUGUCAUUGGACCUG